UUCAGUGCACCCUUGUAUGUCCCUCCUCCUUUGGGCCUACAGCAUUUUCCUAGUUACACCCCAAAUUUUCAGCAUAUUUUUGUCCUUUGUAUGUUUCUUAUUUAUUGUUUUCUUAUUAUUGCUUUAUUUAUUUAUUUUUGUUCUUUCAUUUAUUUCCUUCAGUUUAUUUUAAUUCUUAUACCUCUUGUAUUGAUAGUGUGUCCCAUCCAUUUUAUUAUUUCUUUUAUCUUUUUUUAUUGUUUUAUUUUUUAGUUUAUUUUACUCUAUUUUUAGUUAAUGCAUAAUUGUUAAUUCAAAAAGAUAAAAUGACCUUUA
rnacentral:lncRNA from 1 species